rnacentral:rRNA from 1 species
AGAGUUUGAUCCUGGCUCAGAUUGAACGCUGGCGGCAUGCUUUACACAUGCAAGUCGAACGGCAGCACGGGGGCAACCCUGGUGGCGAGUGGCGAACGGGUGAGUAAUAUAUCGGAACAUAUCCGGAAGUGGGGGAUAACGUACCGAAAGGUACGCUAAUACCGCAUAUGCCCUGAGGGGGAAAGGGGGGGAUCGCAAGACCUCUCGCUUUCGGAGUGGCCGAUAUCGGAUUAGCUAGUUGGUGAGGUAAAGGCUCACCAAGGCGACGAUCCGUAGCUGGUCUGAGAGGACGACCAGCCACACUGGAACUGAGACACGGUCCAGACUCCUACGGGAGGCAGCAGUGGGGAAUUUUGGACAAUGGGCGAAAGCCUGAUCCAGCCAUGCCGCGUGAGUGAAGAAGGCCUUCGGGUUGUAAA